rnacentral:RNase_P_RNA from 1 species
UGAGUCGGCUGGGCAGUCGCGGGAGCGCAGAAACGCGCCUGAGGAAAGUCCGAGCCCCAUAGAGCAGGAUAACGGCUAACGGCCGCCGAGGGUGACCUUAGGGAGAGUGCAACAGAGAUAUACCGCCAGGCGACAAACCUGGUAAGGGUGGAAAGGCGAGGUAAGAGCUCACCGGCGCGCGGGGAACCGCCGCGUCCUGUAAACCCUAUCCGGAGCAACACCGACGGGGACAUUGGCGGGUUUGCCCGCCUACCGCUUGCUCGGCGGCAUCCCGACGGGUGGCAUGACCGCGGCAGCAAUGCCGCGGCAAGAAAGAUGAUUGCCUUCAAUGACAGAACUCGGCUUACAGGCCGGCUCACACA